GAAUAUUGGACAAAGGGCGAAAGCCUGAUCCAGCCAUGCCGCGUGUGUGAAGAAGGUCUUCGGAGUGUAAAGCUCUUUAAGUUGGGAGGAAGGGCAGUAAGCGAAUACAUUGCUGUUUUGACGUUACCGACAGAAUAAGCACCGGCUAACUCUGUGUCAGCAGCAGCGGUAAUACACAGGGUGCAAGCGUUAAUCGGAAGUACUGGGCGUAAAGAGCGCGUAGGUGGUUCGUUAAGUUGGAUGUGAAAACCCCGGGCUCAACCUGGGAACUGCAUCCAAAACUGGCGAGCUAGAGUAGGGCAGAGGGUGAUGGGAUUUCCUGUGUAGCGGUGAAAUGCGUAGAUAUAGGAAGGAACACCAGUGGCGAAGGCGACCACCUGGGCUCAUACUGACACUGAGGUGCGAAAGCGUGGGGAGCAAACA
rnacentral:rRNA from 1 species